rnacentral:rRNA from 1 species
GAGUUUGAUCCUGGCUCAGGACGAACGCUGGCGGCGCGCCUAACACAUGCAAGUCGAACGAGCGAGAGAGAGCUUGCUUUCUCAAGCGAGUGGCGAACGGGUGAGUAACGCGUGAGGAACCUGCCUCAAAGAGGGGGACAACAGUUGGAAACGACUGCUAAUACCGCAUAAGCCCACAGCUCGGCAUCGAGCAGAGGGAAAAGGAGCAAUCCGCUUUGAGAUGGCCUCGCGUCCGAUUAGCUGGUUGGUGAGGUAACGGCCCACCAAGGCGACGAUCGGUAGCCGGACUGAGAGGUUGAACGGCCACAUUGGGACUGAGACACGGCCCAGACUCCUACGGGAGGCAGCAGUGGGGAAUAUUGCACAAUGGGGGAAACCCUGAUGCAGCGACGCCGCGUGGAGGAAGAAGGUCUUCGGAUUGUAAACUCCUGUUGUUGAGGAAGAUAAUGACGGUACUCAACAAGGAAGUGACGGCUAACUACGUGCCAGCAGCCGCGGUAAAACGUAGGUCACAAGCGUUGUCCGGAAUUACUGGGCGUAAAGGGAGCGCAGGCGGGAAGGCAAGUUGGAAGUGAAAUCCAUGGGCUCAACCCAUGAACUGCUUUCAAAACUGUUUUUCUUGAGUAGUGCAGAGGUAGGCGGAAUUCCCGGUGUAGCGGUGGAAUGCGUAGAUAUCGGGAGGAACACCAGUGGCGAAGGCGGCCUACUGGGCACCAACUGACGCUGAGGCUCGAAGGUGUGGGUAGCANACAGGAUUAGAUACCCUGGUAGUCCACACUGUAACGAUGAUUACUAGGUGUUGGAGGAUUGACCCCUUCAGUGCCGCAGUUAACACAAUAAGUAAUCCACCUGGGGAGUACGACCGCAAGGUUGAAACUCAAAGGAAUUGACGGGGGCCCGCACAAGCAGUGGAGUAUGUGGUUUAAUUCGACGCAACGCGAAGAACCUUACCAAGUCUUGACAUCCUGCGACGCACAUAGAAAUAUGUGUUUCCUUCGGGACGCAGAGACAGGUGGUGCAUGGUUGUCGUCAGCUCGUGUCGUGAGAUGUUGGGUUAAGUCCCGCAACGAGCGCAACCCUUAUGGUCAGUUACUACGCAAGAGGACUCUGGCCAGACUGCCGUUGACAAAACGGAGGAAGGUGGGGAUGACGUCAAAUCAUCAUGCCCUUUAUGACUUGGGCUACACACGUACUACAAUGGCGUUAAACAAAGAGAAGCAAGACCGCGAGGUGGAGCAAAACUCAGAAACAACGUCCCAGUUCGGACUGCAGGCUGCAACUCGCCUGCACGAAGUCGGAAUUGCUAGUAAUCGCAGAUCAGCAUGCUGCGGUGAAUACGUUCCCGGGCCUUGUACACACCGCCCGUC